rnacentral:lncRNA from 1 species
GAUCAAAACCUCCUGGCACCGCUGACUCUUCCCCUACAACAUCAAUUAUAAAUCACAAACUAAAUUAUUUAAUAUUUAAAUAUUCUAAACCAUAAUUCACAUCUACUAUGGGGUCCAUCAUCAGGUCCCCAAACAUCUCAAUCCCUCUAGAUCUAGGGCAGUCGGGGUGGCCCGACUCCCACCUUGCACCAUCGGCCUAUGUCGUCGCCAGCCGUGGCCGCAGCCAUGCCGGCGACGAUGGCUGGUCCCGAUGAAGAGACCAACAUAAAGGGAUGAUUCCUCUCUCUUCAUGGUUGGGAAUACAUCUCCCUCCCUCAAAUCUUUUUGAUCCAAGGCCAAUAGCCAUGAUAGAUGUGCCCUCUCUUUCCCCAACCCGACAACACCACUGGCCGAACCAUCGCCGGCCGCCACUGUUGCAGUCGCCGGCGAUGGUGGCCGGCCAAGAGAGAGAGAAAGAGGUGGUCCCUUCCUCUUCUUCUCCCAAGAACCGGCAUGACCUCUUUCCUCCCUUCCCCUCUCCUCCAUCAUCAACGGCAGACCACUCUAAUGGUGGCUCGGCUCCCCCACCCGACGGCAGCCACAGUGGAUCUCACCGUCGUCACUGGUCGGCAGCCAACCGACGAGAGGAAGAGGGAAAGGGGAUGGGAUCACGAGGGAGAAAGCCUCGGAUCCACACUUCCGAUCUUCAGUUAACCCUAGAAAUUCCUCACCAAAACCUCCCACAAUCCCGAUUCAACCAGCUUCCAUGGAUCCGGCCAACCCGGCGGCCGGCGGCGGCUACAAGAUCCGAAAAAGAGAAGCCGGAACAAGGGUUCCCUGUUUCGAACUCUUCUCCGGCGAUCUCACCGGCCAAAAACUUCACCCACGCCGCCCCAAAUCCAGGAAAUAAAACACAAAGGAAGGAACCAUGCUUACCUCGGUCCGGUGGGGGUGUUCCGGCGACCUUUCCGGCAGAAAAUCGGAGGAGCAAGACCCUCGGAUCCCCAAGCUUCUUCACCCGAUUUGUGGGGAUCUUCUUGAAGGAAGGAAGAGCUUUAAAGCUUCCUCCACGGUCGGCCGGUUCUCGGCUCCGGCGCUCGAUCUCCCCCGGCGAUCGCCUCCAACGCCGCCGCUGCCCCCCCCCCC